CAUCAAAUAAAUGUAACAAAAAUUUUAACAAACAAAUAAAAAACAGUAAAUGAAGAACUAAGACUUAAGACUUAGGGGACUACAUUCAGGCAAUUUAGGGAUUGGGGAGAUUUGCGUCGAGAUAUUCUUUUAACUCGUAAAAAGGGUUUUCUAUGAAGUAAUUUUUUAUGUUAUUUAGGAAUAGAUUUGAAUUUUCUGAUUUAAUGAAAAGUUCUUUUAAUGGCUUGGGAAGCUUGUUAAAAUAUCUGAUACCUCUGCUUUCUAAGCUAUCCCAGUCUACUUUUUCCCCCCGUUUUUUUUCAAUUUUUGCUAGGAUAUUUCUGGUUUGUAUUUGAUUAUAGUAAUUAAUUUUUCUUUGAUGAUGUAGCCUAAUUUAAUUGAUUCCUUUAUUGUUGAAUAUAUAUACCUACCUAAAGGCAUUCCAUGGGAAGGUCUUAGGAAAAAAAAUCCCGUCGGUUCCCGGUGUCUGCCAACACCUUCCCAGUGUUUGUCGGGCUGUGCUGGACUCCGCCAGCCCACUGGCAUUCAAUGGGAAGGUCUGGGGGGAAAAAUUUCGUCGGUCCCCGGCGGCUGCCAAUUACACCUUCCCGGUGGUUGUUGGACUGUGCUGGACUCCGCCAGCCCACUGGGUGGAUUUCUGUAGAUUUUCAUUUUGGGAAUUUUUUUUCCUUCAAAAAAAAUUUUACAGUAGGUAAUCCACAAAGCAUUUUUUAGAAGUAGUAUACUAUGUAGAAUCAUAUUUAAGUGGAGGGGUCAACUUCUGUAGGGCCAAUUUUUUUUUUUUUGCUAGUAAGUGAACGGAAAAAGUCUACUUUGUCAACUCCAGCCAGUCUCAUUUCACAUCCUGUAUUUAGUACUUGCAAGGCCUCUUUCCUUCAACUUAAGGUUUUUCAUUGCUUUUUCAAGUAAGAGAAGUCAAGUGAAUAAAAAAAUGAUGAGUAUAAUACUUUAAAAUGAUUUACAAAUGGUCAUUUUUGGAAUUUUAGUACGGAAAAGGUUUAAUAUUCUGAAAAACACACUUUUAUUUUAAUCCUCCUAAGAAAAAAAACCAAUCGAAGAUACUGAAAAUGCAUUAAAACUCUCAAUGAUACCCUUAAUUAAACUAAUCUUCUCAUAAAACCGAUUUGAUUCUUAAAAAAAUAGUCUUUACAGUCGUUUUUUCACCGAUGGCCGGAGUUGACAGGUAGUACGGAGUUGUCAUAGAUGAAAUUACAAAACGAAGUUAUUUGAAAAAAUAACGAAUAUUUAACUAAAUACUAAAAUCUAAUGAACUGGAACAAACAAUUGAACAAAAAUAUUACACGAAUGUCAAAUAAAGCUCAGUUUUACAACGUUAAACGUCAUUGGGCCGGAGUCGACAAGGUCGGAGUUGACAUAGACGAAAUUACAAAACAAAGUUAUUUGAAAAAAUAACGAAUGUUUAACUAAAGACUGAAAUCUAAUGAACUGGAACAAACAAUUGAAAAAAAAUAUUACACGAAUGUCAAAUAAAGCUCAGUUUUACAACGUUAAACGCCAUUGGGCCGGAAUCGAUAAGGUCGGAGUUGACAGAAAUGAAAUUACAAAAUAAAGUUAUUUGAAAAAAUAACAAAUAUUUUACUAAAGACUGAACUCUAAUGAACUGGGACAAGCAAUUGAACAAAAAUAUUACACGAAUGUCAAAUAAGAGCUAUGUUUUACAAUGUUAAACGUCAUUGGGCCGGAGUUGACAUAGGUGAAAUUAUAAGACAAAGUUUUUUGAAAAAAUAACGAAUAUUUAACUAUAAAGACUGAAAUCUAAUGAACUGGAACAAACUAUUGAACAAAAAUAUUACACGAAUGUCGAAUAAAGUUCAGCUUAAUAACGUUAAACGUCAUUGGGCCGGAGUUGACAAGGUCGGAGUUGACGCGGCCGGAGUUGACAUUUGAGUGUUUUUCGCGGGAAAGAAAGUGUCCACGAUGCAGAGAAGAAACAAAACCGAUUGUUUUGAGGUUCGAUCGUGCAGGUACAUCAUAUACUGAAUUAUAUCACUGGCGCCACUUCCCCAGUAUGAAAUUUUAACAUAAAUGGAGUUGACAGUUUCAAAUUACCAUUUUUAGAAAUCCAAAUAUUUGAUGCAGAAAAGGUUUACUUAUGUUUAUCAAAGCAGUGUUUCCGAUAGCCCGGGACCUCCAACUCUUGAAAAAACACAAUCACGAUGGCUACCCUGCGCUCGCACUAUCAGCUAUUUGCUCCGGAAUGCGCGAAAAUAGUUCCGCCGGAGUUGACACCAAAGCUAGCGACACAACUUUCUAUGUAUGGUGCGAGUUCCCCUGACUUUUAAAUAGUUUUCUAACAAUUUUUCAGUAGACCCCAUCUAUUCAACAAUUUAAAUAAAGCAUCAAAAUUGUGCAGGACUCCGCCAAAAAGUCAGCAGAACAGUUCUUGUGUUCGAAUUUAGCCUGGCGACAUUAGCCGGAGUUGACAUUUGCACUGUUAAAAAAAUUCCCGAAAGUAUGCUUCGGCAUUUAAAGUAGAUUUAACAAUUUUUUAAGAUUGCCAAGACUUACCGAAGUGUAAAAAAAAAUAAGUUAGACAUAUUCCGUAGAUUACCGCCUCGAAAUCAUCCGGCGACAGCAAAAUGAAAAUCUACAGAAAUCCACCCCACUGGCAUUCCAUGGGAAGGUCUGGGGAAAAGAAUCCCGUCGGUGCCCGGUAUCUGCCAACACCUUCCCGGUGCUUGUCGGACUGUCCUGAACUCCGCCAGCCCACUGGCAUUCUAUGGGACGGUCUGGGGAAAGUUUCCCACCGGAAACGCGUUCUCUGCUUGGACUGACUCCAAUGAUAGACCUUACCGUCACUAUUUUCAAGGCUCAACCACGCGACUCGUGGUAAGACUGUGAUACUGUGUGCUGUGGGAUAAAAGUGAGCCACUUUGCAAAAAUUGUGCUGCCAUAAUCAGUAACUGCUUUCACCAUGUUCUUGACGGUUGUCUUAUUACUCUGCGCCGCUGGAACCUGGGCGCGGCUGGACCCGCCUGACCAUUAUGAGAGAAUGUAUGACUGGUUGAAUUCAAAACUAUUCUCGACUCAUCUUUUCUGAGAUGCAACCUGACGCGUUUCUAUCAAACUUGGCUGACAUACGAGUUAAAUUGGCCCUGUUUUACUUUCUGGCCUGAAUCAGUCAAGGUAAAGUUGGUGAGUUUUCUUAUGUCAGUAAUGCCACCUUUUCAACUAACUGCAGGCUGAUUCUUGAAAUUCAUAGAGGAAGCAAGAGACAAAGGAGACAAAGAAGUAAACCUAUUGAUGGAAGUGGGUGGUUGCAAUGGACAAAGGAAGUACCUAGGUAGUAGACCAACUAAUCCUGACUCACAUGAAAUCCAGUAGUUAGUCCAUACUUUUCCCCCUACCAUUACUCUAGGACAACCACCUGUUUUAACCGAUAGGAUCACUCCAUUUUCUCUUUGUCUUUCAAUUUCAAUGAUCAGCCUGCUGUUAACAGGGUCAAAGAUCAAGCACAGCUACUUACUAUUUCCUCCUCAGAAUUAAAUGUACAAUGCGAUAAACACAUUAAAAAUUCCAAUUUCAACUUAUAAGGGAGAUUUAAGUUUUUUCCUUGUCAGUCAAUUCAAACUUUCCAUGAGUCAGAUCCAUCUAUUUUGACAAUUUAAUGCCUAAAUAAGGAUAAAUAGGUUCAUGAAACCUUACUUUAAUUGAUGGUCUAAUGAUAAGUUUGCUUUUAAUGAGCAGGUUGACUUAUGUUGAUUUUGUUUCUAUCCGCGAGCAAGAGGAUUGAAUUCUCUGACUAUACUGUGAACAAUAAGUGCUAAUCUCUCUUCCAUGUGUUGAACUUGCAUGUGUUGGGUAUGUUCAACAUGUUCGGAACAAAAUUUUAAUUAAAAAACAUGCCCUAAGGUGCUUCAAAUUUUACCCUCUCAUAUGAUCUCUUUGCUUGACUGAUCUUAGAAAAAACGUGUACCUACUUGUUAUUUACACAUUCCCCACUAGCAAUUCACCAAUCUGUUGUUUUUGUUGAAAAACCGACCAAAAUUUCUGUGGCCCACUGCUAGAUGUACCAUGUUGGUAAUUAAAAGAAAAGUCGCAAGCUUUGUCCAACAAUAUUUUAAAAACAAACAAAAGCAACGUACCUAUUCCCAUAAAAAACCAAUUUUUUUUUUUUUAUUUGCAUUUUAAUUUUUUGUUCAUGUCAUUGUUUAUUGUUGUUAUUUCAAAUGCUUUGGGUUCUGCCUAAUGAUGCAAAAUUUCUGCAAUUCCUCUUGAAAAACAGGAGAUCAACUUGCCAAAGUGAGAUUUUCUGUAUUGAUAACUAAUUAGCGAGCGAAGAAAUUUUCUGGGCAUAUUCUAUAAACCAAAUGGAGUCAAAAAACCUCACUAUUGGUUAAAAAAAAGGCUCCCAGCUACACCAGUCUUCUGCUGGUGUUCUCCCUAAAUUUAUUUAUUCGGUUUCAAUGUCACUGACAUUUCUGUACUUAAAGAAAAUAAAACUUUCAGAUAUGGGAAUGCUGUUCAUACCUGUCUUGAAAAGAAUGAAAAGCGUUCUAUGAGGACCCGAUGUGAAAGAUGUUAGCUGCACAUGAGAAGCGGUUAUUCAACUUCACUUUGAAGCGUUAAAAACAGCCGAGAUGGACUUGGGCGCUAUUUGCUAAUUUGCACAAUAUUAUUCACUGCUUAUUUAUCUCUCCGAUUCGAAAUCAGGGAAAAACUGACAAUCAUCUCUAUUUUAAUGCUUCCUUUGCAAAAAAGUGUAAAUUUGUCUCCACAUUCCACCUGCAAAUGCAAUCUCCUAAUACAUCGUUCAGUAUAUGUAUUGAAACAUUUCGUAAAAUACUAAUUUUUAAGUCUUCAAUUAUAAAUUAUUCAAACUAAUUGGAGCCUCUUCAUUUACUUACCUAUUUCUCAGCAAC